rnacentral:rRNA from 1 species
CCUACGGGUGGCAGCAGUGAGGAAUAUUGGUCAAUGGACGAGAGCCUGAACCAGCCAAGUAGCGUGAAGGAUGACUGCCCUAUGGGUUGUAAACUUCUUUUAUAUGGGAAUAAAACGUUCCACGUGUGGGAUUUUGUAUGUACCAUAUGAAUAAGGACCGGCUAACUCCGUGCCAGCAGCCGCGGUAAUACGGAGGAUCCGAGCGUGAUCCGGAUUUAUUGGGUUUAAAGGGAGCGUAGGUGGGUUGUUAAGUCAGUUGUGAAAGUUUGCGGCUCAACCGUAAAAUUGCAGUUGAAACUGGCAGUCUUGAGUACAGUAGAGGUGGGCGGAAUUCGUGGUGUAGCGGUGAAAUGCUUAGAUAUCACGAAGAACUCCGAUUGCGAAGGCAGCUCACUGGACUGCAACUGACGCUGAGGCUCGAAAGUGUGGGUAUCAAACAGGAUUAGAUACCCCUGUAGUC